rnacentral:rRNA from 1 species
AAUGAACGUUGGCGGCAUGGAUUAGGCAUGCAAGUCGAGCGAGAAGAGUUUUGAAGCUUGCUUUAGAACUCGGACAGCGGCGAAAGGGAGAGUAACGCGUAGUUAUGUGCCCUAGGGUCCGGAAUAGCCACGGGAAACUGUGGGUAAUGCCGGAUAAUAUCCCCGGAUCAAAGGUGUGAUUCCGCCCUAGGAGCAGACUGCGUCCUACUAGCUAGUUGGUGGGGUAAUGGCCCACCAAGGCAAUGAUGGGUAGCGGGUGUGAGAGCAUGACCCGUCUCACUGGGACUGAGACACUGCCCAGACACCUACGGGUGGCUGCAGUCGAGAAUCUUCGGCAAUGGGCGAAAGCCUGACCGAGCGAUGCCGCGUGCGGGAUGAAGGCCCUCGGGUUGUAAACCGCUGUCGUAGGGGAGGAAGGUUCCGUGAAGAGCGGAAUUUGACCUAUCCUAGGAGGAAGUACGGGCUAAGUUCGUGCCAGCAGCCGCAGUAACAC